rnacentral:rRNA from 1 species
UUCGGCGCACAGCUCAGUAGCACGUGGCUAACCUGCCCUUGGGACGGAAGAACCCCCGGGAAACUGGGGCUAAUUUCCGAUAGGUGAUGAUACCUGGAAUGGUUUUUUGCUCAAAGGACGCUUAGGGCAUGCUUCUAGGCGUUGCCCAAGGAUGGGGCCGCGGCCGAUCAGGUUGUUGGUGAGGUAACGGCUCACCAAGCCUUUAACCGGUGCGGGCCGUGGGAGCGGAAGCCCGGAGAUGGGCACUGAGACAAGGGCCCAGGCCCUACGGGGCGCAGCAGUCGCGAAAAUUUCGCAAUAAGCGAAAGCUUGACGGAGCUAUCCCGAGUGCCAUCCGCUGAGGAUGGCUUUUCCCUAGUAUAGAUAGCUGGGGGAAUAAGGAGAGGGCAAGUCUGGUGUCAGCCGCCGCGGUAAUACCAGCUCUCCGAGUGGUGGGGAUGAUUAUUGGGCCUAAAGCAUCCGUAGCCGGCUGGGCAAGUCCCCUGUUAAACCCAACGAUUUAAUCGUUGGUCUGCGGGGGAUACUGCUUGGCUAGGGGGCGAGAGAGGCCGUCGGUAUUCCCGGAGUAGGGGUGAAAUCCUAUAAUCCCGGGAGGACCACCAGUGGCGAAGGCUGUCGGCUAGAACGCGCCCGACGGUGAGGGAUGAAAGCUGGGGGAGCGAACCGGAUUAGAUACCCGGGUAGUCCCAGCUGUAAACGAUGCAGGCUAGGUGUUAGGGCGGCCACGUGCCGCUCUAGUGCCGCAGGGAAGCUGUUAAGCCUGCCGCCUGGGGAUAACGGCUGGCAGGCUGAACUUAAAGGCCA